rnacentral:rRNA from 1 species
UCAUUUAGAGGAAGGAGAAGUCGUAACAAGGUUUCCGUAGGUGAACCUGCGGAAGGAUCAUUGUCGAUACCUGCAAAGCAGACAGCGAACUCGUGCCUAACUCUAACUCUCUCCCGCCGGCGCGCUCCCUCCAGGGGCCGCGCCGUGCGGGCUAACGAACCCCGGCGCGGAAUGCGCCAAGGAAUACUCAACGGAGCGUCCACCCCGGCACCCCGUUCGCGGGUCCUGCCGGGCGACCGGACGUCUUGAAAAUGUCAUAACGACUCUCGGCAACGGAUAUCUCGGCUCUCGCAUCGAUGAAGAACGUAGCGAAAUGCGAUACUUGGUGUGAAUUGCAGAAUCCCGUGAACCAUCGAGUCUUUGAACGCAAGUUGCGCCCGAAGCCUUUGGCUGAGGGCACGUCUGCCUGGGCGUCACGCAUCGCGUCGCCCCCCCUUCCGAAACGGGCUGGGGGAGCGGAUACUGGCCUCCCGUGCGCCUCGGAGCGCGGCUGGCCCAAAUGCGAUCCCUCGGCGACUCGCGUCACGACAAGUGGUGGUUGAACGCUCAAUCUCUUGCGCCGUCGUGACGCCGUGUCGUCGGCACGGGCAUCCAACAGCGACCCUUCGGUGACGGAGCCUCACGGCGCCGCACCCUCGACCGCGACCCCAGGUCAGGCGGGAUUACCCGCUG